rnacentral:tRNA from 1 species
UUUUAACUUGGCAGAAAAAUGCAAUUAAUUUAGGAUUAAUUUAUGUCCUUAUGGAUUGUUGGUAA